CGCAGGAGCGUGGGUUAUUUAAAGGUGGAUCGUAGCGGUGGAGCUUUCUGUGGUGAUGCCUAAGUUAGUGCUCUGUUAAAGCUUCUGGCAAAACCUGUUUUGGCACCUGUCCUGCACUUGGAAAACCGGGUACUGCACCUAAUUUGCUGUGUCACAGAGCAAAGCAGCAGCUGGCGGUAGUCACCUUACUGUUUCUCUUAACAACCCUUUGAGGAUCCUAGCGGUCUUACAGGAUGGAGAGUGAGUUGGAGGAGUUGCGUAGGCGGGUACAGGCCCUGACAUCAGAAAAUGAGCGGUUGCAACACCAGGCUAUGGGCUCCACUGAU